ensembl:rRNA 5S_rRNA 5S ribosomal RNA
GUCUACCACCAUACUGCCCUCAACACACUUGAAUUUGUCUAGUCUCAGAAGCUAAAAAAGAUCAGGUCUGAUUAGUACUCAUAUGGGAGAGC